rnacentral:rRNA from 1 species
CCUACGGGGGGCUGCAGUGGGGAAUAUUGCACAAUGGGCGCAAGCCUGAUGCAGCCAUGCCGCGUGUGUGAAGAAGGCCUUCGGGUUGUAAAGCACUUUCAGCGGGGAGGAAGGCGGUGAGGUUAAUAACCUCAUCGAUUGACGUUACCCGCAGAAGAAGCACCGGCUAACUCCGUGCCAGCAGCCGCGGUAAUACGGAGGGUGCAAGCGUUAAUCGGAAUUACUGGGCGUAAAGCGCACGCAGGCGGUCUGUCAAGUCGGAUGUGAAAUCCCCGGGCUCAACCUGGGAACUGCAUUCGAAACUGGCAGGCUAGAGUCUUGUAGAGGGGGGUAGAAUUCCAGGUGUAGCGGUGAAAUACGUAGAGAUCUGGAGGAAUACCGGUGGCGAAGGCGGCCCCCUGGACAAAGACUGACGCUCAGGUGCGAAAGCGUGGGGAGCAAACAGGAUUAGAUACCCCUGUAGUC